rnacentral:rRNA from 1 species
UGUGAGCUCGAUGAGUAGGGCGGGACACGUGGUAUCCUGUCUGAAUAUGGGGGGACCAUCCUCCAAGGCUAAAUACUCCUGACUGACCGAUAGUGAACCAGUACCGUGAGGGAAAGGCGAAAAGAACCCCGGCGAGGGGAGUGAAAAAGAACCUGAAACCGUGUACGUACAAGCAGUGGGAGCACGCUUAGGCGUGUGACUGCGUACCUUUUGUAUAAUGGGUCAGCGACUUAUAUUCUGUAGCAAGGUUAACCGAAUAGGGGAGCCGAAGGGAAACCGAGUCUUAACUGGGCGUUAAGUUGCAGGGUAUAGACCCGAAACCCGGUGAUCUAGCCAUGGGCAGGUUGAAGGUUGGGUAACACUAACUGGAGGACCGAACCGACUAAUGUUGAAAAAUUAGCGGAUGACUUGUGGCUGGGGGUGAAAGGCCAAUCAAACCGGGAGAUAGCUGGUUCUCCCCGAAAGCUAUUUAGGUAGCGCCUCGUGAAUUCAUCUCCGGGGGUAGAGCACUGUUUCGGCAAGGGGGUCAUCCCGACUUACCAACCCGAUGCAAACUGCGAAUACCGGAGAAUGUUAUCACGGGAGACACACGGCGGGUGCUAACGUCCGUCGUGAAGAGGGAAACAACCCAGACCGCCAGCUAAGGUCCCAAAGUCAUGGUUAAGUGGGAAACGAUGUGGGAAGGCCCAGACAGCCAGGAUGUUGGCUUAGAAGCAGCCAUCAUUUAAAGAAAGCGUAAUAGCUCACUGGUCGAGUCGGCCUGCGCGGAAGAUGUAACGGGGCUAAACCAUGCACCGAAGCUGCGGCAGCGACGCUUAUGCGUUGUUGGGUAGGGGAGCGUUCUGUAAGCCUGUGAAGGUGUGCUGUGAGGCAUGCUGGAGGUAUCAGAAGUGCGAAUGCUGACAUAAGUAACGAUAAAGCGGGUGAAAAGCCCGCUCGCCGGAAGACCAAGGGUUCCUGUCCAACGUUAAUCGGGGCAGGGUGAGUCGACCCCUAAGGCGAGGCCGAAAGGCGUAGUCGAUGGGAAACAGGUUAAUAUUCCUGUACUUGGUGUUACUGCGAAGGGGGGACGGAGAAGGCUAUGUUGGCCGGGCGACGGUUGUCCCGGUUUAAGCGUGUAGGCUGGUUUUCCAGGCAAAUCCGGAAAAUCAAGGCUGAGGCGUGAUGACGAGGCACUACGGUGCUGAAGCAACAAAUGCCCUGCUUCCAGGAAAAGCCUCUAAGCAUCAGGUAACAUCAAAUCGUACCCCAAACCGACACAGGUGGUCAGGUAGAGAAUACCAAGGCGCUUGAGAGAACUCGGGUGAAGGAACUAGGCAAAAUGGUGCCGUAACUUCGGGAGAAGGCACGCUGAUAUGUAGGUGAAGUCCCUCGCGGAUGGAGCUGAAAUCAGUCGAAGAUACCAGCUGGCUGCAACUGUUUAUUAAAAACACAGCACUGUGCAAACACGAAAGUGGACGUAUACGGUGUGACGCCUGCCCGGUGCCGGAAGGUUAAUUGAUGGGGUCAGCGCAAGCGAAGCUCUUGAUCGAAGCCCCGGUAAACGGCGGCCGUAACUAUAACGGUCCUAAGGUAGCGAAAUUCCUUGUCGGGUAAGUUCCGACCUGCACGAAUGGCGUAAUGAUGGCCAGGCUGUCUCCACCCGAGACUCAGUGAAAUUGAACUCGCUGUGAAGAUGCAGUGUACCCGCGGCAAGACGGAAAGACCCCGUGAACCUUUACUAUAGCUUGACACUGAACAUUGAGCCUUGAUGUGUAGGAUAGGUGGGAGGCUUUGAAGUGUGGACGCCAGUCUGCAUGGAGCCGACCUUGAAAUACCACCCUUUAAUGUUUGAUGUUCUAACGUUGACCCGUAAUCCGGGUUGCGGACAGUGUCUGGUGGGUAGUUUGACUGGGGCGGUCUCCUCCUAAAGAGUAACGGAGGAGCACGAAGGUUGGCUAAUCCUGGUCGGACAUCAGGAGGUUAGUGCAAUGGCAUAAGCCAGCUUGACUGCGAGCGUGACGGCGCGAGCAGGUGCGAAAGCAGGUCAUAGUGAUCCGGUGGUUCUGAAUGGAAGGGCCAUCGCUCAACGGAUAAAAGGUACUCCGGGGAUAACAGGCUGAUACCGCCCAAGAGUUCAUAUCGACGGCGGUGUUUGGCACCUCGAUGUCGGCUCAUCACAUCCUGGGGCUGAAGUAGGUCCCAAGGGUAUGGCUGUUCGCCAUUUAAAGUGGUACGCGAGCUGGGUUUAGAACGUCGUGAGACAGUUCGGUCCCUAUCUGCCGUGGGCGCUGGAGAACUGAGGGGGGCUGCUCCUAGUACGAGAGGACCGGAGUGGACGCAUCACUGGUGUUCGGGUUGUCAUGCCAAUGGCACUGCCCGGUAGCUAAAUGCGGAAGAGAUAAGUGCUGAAAGCAUCUAAGCACGAAACUUGCCCCGAGAUGAGUUCUCCCUGACUCCUUGAGAGUCCUGAAGGAACGUUGAAGACGACGACGUUGAUAGGCCGGGUGUGUAAGCGCAGCGAUGCGUUGAGCUAACCGGUACUAAUGAACCGUGAGGCUUAACCUU